CGCCGGGCUCCCCUGACAGAAGCUAGGAAGCCGGCGACGUCCGCGAGAGACUCCUCAACCCCUUGCCUUGCCUAUUCUGCACGCUGAUUGAGACACUGCCGCGAGAACUGUGCGUGCCCUCUCCCUGUCCCCGCCCCCUCUCGCCACUGCCUCCAUGGCGGCCCGCCUCCCAGAUUCGAUUGGCACUGUUCUAGAGAGGGGAAGUCCAGCAGUAAACCAAACAGUCAAAAAGUCCUAUCC